rnacentral:lncRNA from 1 species
UGAUUUAUCACCAUAUAAAUUAGGUGAAAUGAUUUCUUCCUCUUUCCUCCAGUGGCACUAAAGGUAGCCUAGCGAGGCCUGGAAUUUAUAAGAAUGAAUCUCUGAAGAUUAUAGGUCACCUGAGCUGACACUUAUGACGUGGUCAUGGAUUUACAGUCUGAGGUAUCAAGGACAACUUCAAAUUGCUGAUGGCUUCUAUGGGGAGCUUUGAACCACCACCAGCAAAAGCAGCUGAAAAAAUGUCAGUGACAUUCAUCUGGACCAUCCGUGAAUAAUUUGCAUUCAUUCUUUGUGGACUUCCAAAGAAAAUAAAGAGGUCCUCAGCUUGUUGAGACUAAGAGCAGCACUCAAAAGGAAAUUGCUUUGAUGGUGUUCAGCUUUUGACGGAACAAAAGAUAAAUUUGUGUCUUUCAAGAAACUUCUGAAAUGUGGACAGUCUUGCUGCUUCUAAGUAAGGAGAGAGCCUUUGAUACCAGGAAAACCUCUCUAUUUUCUGUCAUGGAAGAAGGAAUAUGCAAACAACUUUGA